rnacentral:rRNA from 1 species
GAACGAACGCUGGCGGCAUGCCUAACACAUGCACGUCGAACGAGACCUUCGGGUCUAGUGGCGCACGGGUGCGUAACGCGUGGGAACCUGCCCUUAGGUUCGGAAUAACUCCCCGAAAGGGGUGCUAAUACCGGAUAAUGUCUUCGGACCAAAGAUUUAUCGCCUUUGGAUGGGCCCGCGUUGGAUUAGCUAGUUGGUAGGGUAAAAGCCUACCAAGGCGACGAUCCAUAGCUGGUCUGAGAGGAUGAUCAGCCACACUGGGACUGAGACACGGCCCAGACUCCUACGGGAGGCAGCAGUGGGGAAUAUUGGACAAUGGGCGAAAGCCUGAUCCAGCAAUGCCGCGUGAGUGAUGAAGGCCUUAGGGUUGUAAAGCUCUUUUACCCGGGAUGAUAAUGACAGUACCGGGAGAAUAAGCUCCGGCUAACUCCGUG